rnacentral:rRNA from 1 species
GUUGAACGCUGGCGGCAUGCUUUACACAUGCAAGUCGAACGGCAGCACGGGGGCAACCCUGGUGGCGAGUGGCGAACGGGUGAGUAAUAUAUCGGAACAUGUCCGGAAGUGGGGGAUAACGUACCGAAAGGUACGCUAAUACCGCAUAUGCCCUGAGGGGGAAAGCGGGGGAUCGCAAGACCUCGCGCUUUCGGAGUGGCCGAUAUCGGAUUAGCUAGUAGGUGAGGUAAAGGCUCACCUGGGCGACGAUCCGUAGCUGGUCUGAGAGGACGACCAGCCACACUGGGACUGAGACACGGCCCAGACUCCUACGGGAGGCAGCAGUGGGGAAUUUUGGACAAUGGGCGCAAGCCUGAUCCAGCCAUGCCGCGUGAGUGAAGAAGGCCUUCGGGUUGUAAAGCUCUUUCGGACAGAAAGAAAUCGCACAGGUUAAUACCUUGUGUGGAUGACGGUACUGUAAGAAGAAGCACCGGCUAACUACGUGCCAGCCGCCGCGGUAAUAC